rnacentral:tRNA from 1 species
AUCUAAAUAGUUUAAGUAGAAAAUGUUGGUUUGUGGUGCCAGUGAUAUAGUAUGUAUUUUAGAUU